GACGAACGCUGGCGGCGUGCUUAACACAUGCAAGUCGAACGGAAAGGCCUGCUUUCCCUUGUGGAUUGCGGGUACUCGAGUGGCGAACGGGUGAGUAACACGUGAGUGAUCUGCCCCCAACUUGGGUAUAAGCCUGGGAAACUGGGUCUAAUUCCCGAUAGGACUGCAGGGUGGUGCCUGUGGUGGAAAACGAUUUUCUAGUGGUUGGGGAUGAGCUCGCGGCCUAUCAGCUUGUUGGUGGGGUAAUGGCCUACCAAGGCGGCGACGGGUAGCCGGCCUGAGAGGGUGGACGGCCACAGUGGGACUGAGAUACGGCCCAGACUCCUACGGGAGGCAGCAGGGGGGAAUAUUGCACAAUGGGCGGAAGCCUGAUGCAGCGACGCCGCGUGGGGGAUGACGGCCUUCGGGUUGUAAACUCCUUUCGACCGCGAGGAAGCCACCUGGUUGGAAGGGUGGUGACGGUAGUGGUAGAAGAAGCACCGGCUAACUACGUG
rnacentral:rRNA from 1 species